AAUCCAUGUUGUGGGCACUUCCGCAAAAGAUCCUUGAAUCGCUCCCAUGUCUCAAAUAAGGACUCGAGCUCCAUGUGACAAACGAUGAUUUCUCAUUGUGAUGCU